rfam:Anopheles gambiae str. PEST whole genome shotgun sequencing project, whole genome shotgun sequence.
AUUCUGGUUGAUCCUACCAGUGAUAUACGCUCGUCUCAAAGGUUAAGCCAUGCAUGUCUAAGUACAAGCUUCCUAGAAAGUGAAACCGCAUAAGGCUCAGUAUAACAGCUAUAAUUUACAAGAUCCUCAUCCAAACAGUUACUUGGAUAACUGUGGAAAAGCCAGAGCUAAUACAUGCAUUAUGCCGGGACUGUUGGCCUCCGGGUCGGCGGAACUGGUGCACUUAUUAGUUAAACCAAUCGCCUCCGGGCGCUUUGAGUUGAAAUCUGGAUAAGGAUGCCGAUCGUACGGUCGCUUGCGUACUGACGACAGAUCUUUCAAAUGUCUGCCCUAUCAACUAUUGAUGGUAGUGUAGAGGACUACCAUGGUUGCGACGGGUAACGGGGAAUCAGGGUUCGAUUCCGGAGAGGGAGCCUGAGAAAUGGCUACCACAUCCAAGGAAGGCAGCAGGCGCGUAAAUUACCCAAUCCCGGCACGGAGGUAGUGACGAGAAAUAACAAUAUGGACCUCUCUAACGAUGGUCCAUAAUUGGAAUGAGUUGAGCAUAAAUCCUUUUGCAAGGAUCAAGUGGAGGGCAAGUCUGGUGCCAGCAGCCGCGGUAAUUCCAGCUCCACUAGCGUAUAUUAAAGUUGUUGCGGUUAAAACGUUCGAAGUUGAUACCCCGUCCAGACUCGCGUCCGUCGCGGGCGCCCGGCCUCUCGGUUGGGACCGUCCGUGUACGCGCUCGCGGCUGCGACUCACAAUGGUGUACCUGGGCGUUCUACUCCGUGACGGGUCAGGACUUGUCGCCGCGACCUCGUCGGUCAAGGUCUUGUUCGACCCAGCUUCAUGGUGCCCGGGAACUCUCGUUUACCUUGAACAAAUUAGAGUGCUCAAAGCAGGCUAGUUCAAAGCGUCCGGUCCUCCGGGGCCGGCG